rnacentral:rRNA from 1 species
AUACUGUAUGGUACCAUCAGAUGGCAUCUGAAGAUGGUUAAAGAUUUAUCGGUAAAGGAUGGGCAUGCGUGACAUUAGUUAGUUGGUGAGGUAACGGCUCACCAAGACGAUGAUGUCUAGGGGUUCUGAGAGGAUGAUCCCCCACACUGGCACUGAGAUACGGGCCAGACUCCUACGGGAGGCAGCAGUAGGGAAUAUUGGUCAAUGGGCGAGAGCCUGAACCAGCCAUGCCGCGUGCAGGAAGACGGCCUUCUGGGUUGUAAACUGCUUUUAUCAGGGAACAAAAAGGCCAUGCGUGGCAAAUUGCGUGUACCUGAAGAAUAAGGACCGGCUAACUCAGUGCCAGCAGCCGCGGUAAUACGGAGGGUCCAAGCGUUGUCCGGAUUUAUUGGGUUUAAAGGGUGCGUAGGCGGCCUUAUAAGUCAGUGGUGAAAUCCUUCAGCUUAACUGGAGAACUGCCAUUGAAACUGUAAGGCUUGAGUACAGACGAGGUAGGCGGAAUUUAUGGUGUAGCGGUGAAAUGCAUAGAUACCAUAAAGAACACCUAUAGCGAAGGCAGCUUACUAGACUGUAACUGACGCUGAGGCACGAAAGCGUGGGGAGCGAACAGGAUUAGAUACCCUGGUAGUCCACGCCGUAAACGAUGAGAACUAGAUGUUGGAAGGAUUUGCCUUUCAGUGUCGCAGCUAACGCAUUAAGUUCUCCGCCUGGGGAGUACGCCGGCAACGGUAAAACUCAAAGGAAUAGACGGGGACCCGCACAAGCGGUGGAGCAUGUGGUUUAAUUCGAUGCAACGCGAA